rnacentral:rRNA from 1 species
GACGAACGCUGGCGGCGUGCUUAACACAUGCAAGUCGAACGGAAAGGCCCUGCUUUUGUGGGGUGCUCGAGUGGCGAACGGGUGAGUAACACGUGAGUAACCUGCCCUUGACUUUGGGAUAACUUCAGGAAACUGGGGCUAAUACCGGAUAGGAGCUCCUGCUGCAUGGUGGGGGUUGGAAAGUUUCGGCGGUUGGGGAUGGACUCGCGGCUUAUCAGCUUGUUGGUGGGGUAGUGGCUUACCAAGGCUUUGACGGGUAGCCGGCCUGAGAGGGUGACCGGCCACAUGGGGACUGGGAUACGGCCCAGACUCCUACGGGAGGCAGCGGUGGGGAAAUUGCACAAUGGGCGGAAGCCUGAUGCAGCAACGCCGCGUGCGGGAUGACGGCCUUCGGGUUGUAAACCGCUUUCGCCUGUGACGAAGCGUGAGUGACGGUAAUGGGUAAAGAAGCACCGGCUAACUACGUG